rnacentral:lncRNA from 1 species
UGUGUUACUGCAACAGUGGCCUGAGGCUGCAGGGGAAACUCGCUGCUCUGGACUGUGCUGACCACUCUGUCUCCACGUUCCAUGUUCCAGAAUGCUGCCGUUGGCGAGGACAAUCUCAUCUUUACUGUUAAGAGAUAUGAACCUGGAGAAGAGUCCCCUAAGGAAGCUGGUCCUGGGGCUCUGUUCACAAACAGACCCCACAGAGCCCUAAGACAGCAGCACAAUUAGACCCAACCAAAUCGUGAGUAAACAAAAAGAUAAUUAUUUAACAAAAUGGAAAGAAUUAACAAAAAAGCUGAG